AUUGAACGCUGGCGGCAGGCCUAACACAUGCAAGUCGAACGAGUGGCGGACGGGUGAGUAAUGUCUGGGAAACUGCCCGACGGAGGGGGAUAACUACUGGAAAAGGUAGCUAAUACUGCAUAACAUCCGAUGUGCCCAGAGGGGAUUAGCUAGUAGGUGGGGUAACGGCUCACCUAGGCGACGCUCCCUAGCUGGUCUGAGAGGAUGAACAGCCACACUGGAACUGAGACACGGUCAAGACUCCUACGGGAGGCAGCAGUGGGGAAUAUUGCACAAUGGGCGAAAGCCUGAUGCAGCCAUGCCGCGUGUAUGAAGAAGGCCUUCGGGUUGUAAAGUACUUUCAGCGAGGAGGCGUUACUCGCAGAAGAAGCACCGGCUAACUCCGUGCCAGCAGCCGCGGUAAUAC
rnacentral:rRNA from 1 species